rnacentral:tRNA from 1 species
GGCCCCAUAGCUCAGUUGGAUAGAGCAGCCGCCUUCUAAGCGGCAGGUCGUUGGUUCGAAUCCAACUGGGGUCGCCA